AUUGAACGCUGGCGGCAUGCCUUACACAUGCAAGUCGAACGGCAGCGGACCUUCGGGUGCCGGCGAGUGGCGAACGGGUGAGUAAAGUAUCGGAACGUACCUUUCAGUGGGGGAUAACGUAGCGAGAGUUACGCUAAUACCGCAUAUUCUGUGAGCAGGAAAGCAGGGGAUCGCAAGACCUUGCGCUGAUUGAGCGGCCGAUAUCAGAUUAGCUAGUUGGUGAGGUAAAGGCUCACCAAGGCGACGAUCUGUAGCGGGUCUGAGAGGAUGAUCCGCCACACUGGAACUGAGACACGGUCCAGACUCCUACGGGAGGCAGCAGUGGGGAAUUUUGGACAAUGGGGGCAACCCUGAUCCAGCCAUGCCGCGUGGGUGAAGAAGGCCUUCGGGUUGUAAAGCUCUUUCGGCCGGGAAGAAAUCGCUUAGGUUAAUACCCUGAGUGGAUGACGGUACCGGAAUAAGAAGCACCGGCUAACUACGUGCCAGCCGCCGCGGUAACAC
rnacentral:rRNA from 1 species